rnacentral:rRNA from 1 species
CAGAGGGGCGUAGCGUUGUUCGGAAUUACUGGGCGUAAAGGGCGCGUAGGUGGCCUGUUAAGUCGAACGUGAAAUCCCCGGGCUCAACCCGGGAACUGCGUCCGAGACUGGCAGGCUCGAAUCCGGGAGAGGGAUGUGGAAUUCCAGGUGUAGCGGUGAAAUGCGUAGAUAUCUGGAGGAACACCGGUGGCGAAGGCGGCAUCCUGGACCGGUAUUGACGCUGAGGCGCGAAAGCCAGGGGAGCAAACGGGAUUAGAUACCCCGGUAGUCCUGGCCCUAAACGAUGAAUGCUUGGUGUGGCGGGUAUCGAUCCCUGCCGUGCCGAAGCUAACGCAUUAAGCAUUCCGCCUGGGGAGUACGGUCGCAAGGCUG